rnacentral:rRNA from 1 species
AUGGAGGAUGGAAGUCUACUAGAGCAUAGAACAGUGGACGAAAGUGUGCUGGAGCGUAGACUUAACGGAGUCGAGGACCCGAAGGAUCUUCCAUUACCACUGUUGCAGCACAUCACGAAUGAUUUCUCUGAAAAUAGAAAAAUUGGCCAGGGUGGAUUUGGAGCUGUUUACAAGGGUGUACUCCAAAGUGGGAAACAUGUUGCUGUGAAGAGGAUAUAUGUGAAUGAGUACACAAUUGAUGGCAAGGCAUUCCGCCGGGAGUUCAAUAGCCUGGUGAAAACUAAUCAUGAAAAUGUAGUCCGGUUUCUUGGCUUCUGCUCUAAUACACAUCAGACAUCUAUAAAAGUGGCUGCGACAGGAAAAAAUGACUUGGUCAACAUUAAUGAAAGAUUGCUCUGCUUAGAGUACAUUAGCAAUGGAAGUCUUGAUACACAUAUUACUGAUGAAUUAAGGGGACUUCCAUGGGAAACACGUUAUGAGAUAAUCUUCGGAAUUUGUAAGGGUCUGUGUUAUCUUCACGAAGAAAAAGGAAUUGUUCAUAUGGAUCUUAAACCGGCAAACAUAUUACUAGAUGGCAAAAAUAUGGUUCCAAAAAUCACCGAUUUUGAUUUGUCAAGACCGGAUGAAAACUCACAUACUACUGGUCAAUGUGUUGGAACGCAAGGAUAUAUCGCUCCAGAAUACCGGGACGCUAGCAAAACUUCAAUGAAAUGUGACAUAUAUAGUUUGGGGGUCGUAAUCAUUGAAUUGGUAACGGGAUGUAAGGGCCUCCCUGACGAACAUAAGGUACUUCGAAGAUGGAGACAUAGGUGGAGUAAGCCACCAACAAUACUACAACUCCAGCAAGUAACCAGAUGUAUUAAGAUAGGAGUGAGGUGCAGGGAAAAGAAACCAGAGCAUAGGCCACCUAUAUCAGAAAUAAUCAGCUUCCUGGGUGAACCUGCAAGCACCGAUGACCACACUAGCCAGAUAUGCCCUGAUUACAAUGAAGACGACAUGCUUGGGAUUAAGCCGCUUGAACUACGACUUCCUUCUGAGGGAAAGAAGGAGAUAUCAUGCUCAGUUGAACUAACCAACGAUACAGCUAAUUGCAUUGCCUUCAACAUCCAACCCUCAAGACCUCGACUCUAUGGUGCACAACCAAAUAAAGGCAUUGUGAGACCUCAAUCCAAGUAUGGUGUGAAGAUAACAGUGCCGCCACAACAUAUCGAACAUGUUGAAAAGUUCAUCAUUAAGAGCAGAAAAGUGAGUGAGGGCCUUGGAGAUGAGACUAUCAUAGAAUGCAUGUUCGAAGAGGCUGGUAUAGUUGUUGAUGAGGUGGAUUUGAAGAUUAAAUAUAACCCUAUUUUCGAAAAGAGCAAACUGCUUCCGGAGAGAGCAAUAUUUUCACGCCAUUAUCAUACAAAUAUGAAAUACCUACAGGAAGAAAGUGACCAAGCAGUCGAUGUCACAAGGGGAGCUAUGGGCAGCGUGCUUGACAAGUUGGGAAAGCUCAUCACAGAGGAAAACAACCUAGAACAUAACAUGAAGAUUGACAUCGAGUCUUUUUCACAAGAAUUGAUGAAACUUCACCUUGACUUGCCCAAGCUGGAAAAGCAUGAUGGGGUUAAAUUUUGGGUUAAUGAGGUCAAGGAGCUAUCAUAUAAGAUUGAGGAUAUGGUCGACGGCUUGUUGGUGCCUGUCGAGCAUGAAUCUACUAGUAGUGAGCUCUCGGAUGAGGGUCUAGAUCCCUGGCAGUAUGCCAUCAAUCAUAUUGGUCGUGUGAUCAAAGACAUCAAGAACAAAGUUCAGUGUGUGACUGACAAUAGAAAUAUGUACAAUUUUGAUGUCAAUAAUGUUUUAGCUAAUGUAAAAGCUAAAGCGACCACUGGCCUUCAAAUUUGGGCUAAGAAGGAUAAAGAAGAACUAAUUGGCAUUGAAAAACCAAGAGAUGAGCUAAUAAGCCUAUUUGAGGAGGAUGGCAAUGUACCAAACAAUAAGCUCAAGAUAUUCUCUAUCGUCGGUAUGGGAGGAUUGGGUAAGACCACACUUGUGAAGGCUGUGUAUGACAAGCUGGAAGCACAAUACCAUCCUAUGGCUUUUGUCAAGGUGGGCCAGAAUGUUGAUGUGAAGGUAGUUUUGAAGAACAUUCUAACUGGAUGUGGAAAGGAUGCAACAAACAUGGAACAUUUGGAUGUGGAGCAGCUCACCAGUCAACUCCAGCAAUUGCUCAUGUAUGAGAGAUAUUUCAUAGUAAUUGAUGAUCUAUGGGAUUCUGAAACAAUGAAUAAUGAAACUUGGGAUACUAUUAAAUUUGCUUUGCCAGGAAACAACUAUGGUAUUAGAGUGAUCACAACAACAAGGAUUGAUCAUGUUGCUCGUGCCUGUUGCUAUGAUGAAAUGAAAUGUAUUCGUAUGAUGAAUCCACUCAGUGACAAUGACUCAAGAACACUAUUCUUAAGCAGAAUAUUUGGUCCGAAGGAACCUUGCCCAGAUGCACUUAAAGAUAUUUCAAUUCAUAUUCUAAAAAGAUGUGGUGGUUUGCCACUUGCUAUCAAUAGUAUAGCAAAUCUUCUAAUUGGUGAUCAGCGAAGGUCAACCUGGGAUGAUGUAAGGCAAAAUUGGAGUGCUAUGAUGAAAGGAAAUGCUCUUGAAAGGAUGAACCAGAUAUUGGAUCUGAGCUACGUACAUCUCCCUUAUCAGCUGAAGACAUGCCUUCUUUAUGUUGGUAUGUAUCAAAAUAGCAACAAAGAUCUACAUCAUAUGUUGAGGAAAUGGGUUGCAGAAGGUUUCGUAGAAAAGAGUACAAACGAUGAGGUAGAUGAAGAUGUUGCAGAAUUAUACUUGAGGGCACUCAGAGGGAUGUGUAUGUUACAAGUAGAUAAGGUAGGCUACUGCAACGGUGAUGUAUUGCAUUACAGAGUACACCCUAUAAUGCUUGAUCUUAUCAGAGUCAAGGCCGCAAUAGAGAAUUUUAUUCAUGUAAUUGAUGGUUCAAAAAGUAUGGGAGGGGAUAUCCAUCGAGUCUCAGUCCACCACAAUGAUAAAGUGGAUAAGCAAAUUUGGGGAGCAAUCGAGGAAGGGUCGCUAUCGCAUGUUCGGUCAGUCUUUCUUCGUCGAAGCUCACUUGUGCCUUAUUUUCUGGAACUUAAGUAUGUCCGAGUGCUACACAUUGAAUAUAAGUACUCUUCCAUGGAUGGCCUAGAUCUCACCGGCAUCAAUAGGUUGUCUCUCCUAUGGUAUUUGAAGGCCGGAAAUGUCAUACUCAUCGGACGACGAAAACCGCCCGGGGGAGUGCGACUGGUGCCACGACGACCGAGGUAUCUGCGACAGGUUCAUUGUGCUGGACGAAGAUCGGCGCUUCAGCAUUAA